CCUGCCCAUAAGUGGGGAAUAACAGUUGGAAACGACUGCUAAUACCGCAUAAGCUGAGCAAUCAGUAAAGGAGGCUAACGCUUCCGCUUUAUGGAUGGGCCCGCGUCUGAUUAGCUAGUUGGUGGGGUAAUGGCCUACCAAGGCAACGAUCAGUAGCCGGCCUGAGAGGGUGGACGGCCACACUGGGACUGAGACACGGCCCAGACUCCUACGGGAGGCAGCAGUGGGGAAUAUUGCGCAAUGGGGGAAACCCUGACGCAGCGACGCCGCGUGAGCGAAGAAGGCCUUAGGGUCGUAAAGCUCUGUUUUAAGGGACGAAUAUCCUCAGUAGUAACUGACUGGGGAAUGACGGUACCUUAAGAGAAAGCCCCGGCUAACUACGUGCCAGCAGCCGCGGUAAGACGUAGGGGGCGGGCGUUGUCCGGGAUUACUGGGCGUAAAGAGCACGUAGGCGGGAUUUUAAGUCAGGUGUGAAAGACCGGGGCCCAACCUCGGGGUUGCAUCUGAAACUGGAUAUCUUGAGGGCAGGAGAGGAAAGUGGAAUUCCUGGUGUAGCGGUGAAAUGCGUAGAAAUCAGGAGGAAUACCAGUGGCGAAGGCGACUUUCUGGACUGACCCUGACGCUGAGGUGCGAAAGCGUGGGUAGCAAACAGGAUUAGAUACCCUGGUAGUCCACGCUGUAAACGAUGGAUACUA
rnacentral:rRNA from 1 species